CAUUGGAAUUUGGAAUGAAGUGAUGCGACUUAAAGCUGCUCUUAUAUAUUAGCGAGCUGUGAAUGAGUUGAACUCAUGCAACAUGUAAAGCUUGUCUUGAAUAAACCUGGCG